rnacentral:rRNA from 1 species
AUUGAACGCUGGCGGCAUGCCUUACACAUGCAAGUCGAACGGUAACAGGUCUUCGGAUGCUGACGAGUGGCGAACGGGUGAGUAAUACAUCGGAACGUGCCUAGUAGUGGGGGAUAACUACUCGAAAGAGUGGCUAAUACCGCAUGAGAUCUACGGAUGAAAGCAGGGAAUCGCAAGACCUUGUGCUACUAGAGCGGCCGAUGGCAGAUUAAGUAGUUGGUGGGAUAAAAGCUUACCAAGCCGACGAUCUGUAGCUGGUCUGAGAGGACGAUCAGCCACACUGGGACUGAGACACGACCCAGACUCCUACGGGAGGCAGCAGUGGGGAAUUUUGGACAAUGGGCGCAAGCCUGAUCCAGCAAUGCCGCGUGCAGGAUGAAGGCCUUCGGGUUGUAAACUGCUUUUGUACGGAACGAAAAGCCCUGGGUUAAUACCCUGGGGUCAUGACGGUACCGUAAGAAUAAGCACCGGCUAACUACGUGCCAGCAGCCGCGGUAACAC